rnacentral:rRNA from 1 species
UACGAAGGGGGCUAGCGUUGCUCGGAAUCACUGGGCGUAAAGGGUGCGUAGGCGGGUCUUUAAGUCAGGGGUGAAAUCCUGGAGCUCAACUCCAGAACUGCCUUUGAUACUGAGGAUCUUGAGUUCGGGAGAGGUGAGUGGAGUUGCGAGUGUAGAGGUGAAAUUCGUAGAUAUUCGCAAGAACACCAGUGGCGAAGGCGGCUCACUGGCCCGAUACUGACGCUGAGGCACGAAAGCGUGGGGAGCAAACAGG